rnacentral:rRNA from 1 species
UACGUAGGGGGCAAGCGUUGUCCGGAUUUAUUGGGCGUAAAGAGCGUGUAGGCGGCUUUACAGGUCCGUUGUGAAAACUCGAGGCUCAACCUCGAGACGCCGGUGGAAACCGUAAGGCUAGAGUCCGGAAGAGGAGAGUGGAAUUCCUGGUGUAGCGGUGAAAUGCGCAGAUAUCAGGAGGAACACCCGUGGCGAAAGCGGCUCUCUGG